rnacentral:sRNA from 1 species
UCCUGUAAUAGAGAUUUGAGAUACAAUGC